AUUGAACGCUGGCGGAAUGCUUUACACAUGCAAGUCGAACGGCAGCACGGGAGCAAUCCUGGUGGCGAGUGGCGAACGGGUGAGUAAUAUAUCGGAACGUGCCCAGCCGUGGGGGAUAACGCAGCGAAAGCUGUUCUAAUACCGCAUACGAUCUAAGGAUGAAAGCGGGGGAUCGCAAUACCUCGCGCGAUUGGAGCGGCCGAUAUCAGAUUAGCUAGUUGGUGGGGUAAAGGCCCACCAAGGCGACGAUCUGUAGCUGGUCUGAGAGGACGACCAGCCACACUGGAACUGAGACACGGUCCAGACUCCUACGGGAGGCAGCAGUGGGGAAUUUUGGACAAUGGGCGCAAGCCUGAUCCAGCAAUGCCGCGUGCAGGAUGAAGGCCUUCGGGUUGUAAACUGCUUUUGUACGGAACGAAACGGCCCUUUCUAAUACAGGGGGCUAAUGACGGUACCGUAAGAAUAAGCACCGGCUAACUACGUGCCAGCCGCCGCGGUAA
rnacentral:rRNA from 1 species